UGGCAAAUUGAUUAAUGAGGACAUUACUCAAUAUGCCUGGUUGUACAGCAUGUCCAAUAACAUUGUGUUGAUGGGGAGUUGGGUAAAAAUAUCCAGGAAUUUACUACCAGUGGUGUGACCACUUGUUUGCUGAAAACAUUAAAGAGGGAAAUAUGGGGAGCAGCUCCCUUGAAGAAUUCCAUAACCAGCCUCUUCCCCCGCCAGCAAACUGCCUCUUCUAAGCUGGGCGACAGCACAGGUGGAAACAAGAGAGCAGCCGUUUGGUUGGUGGGAGCCUGAGCUGCCCUGCCCGAACCUGGAGAUACUGCACAGAAAACUAUCUAGAGGCUGGAGCUGAAAUGUGAAGUAAAUCUGUAAAAUUCAAAAUGACAUCCAUGUACUCCUGGUAAAAAGUGGAAGGAAUGGGUUGCUACUUGUGUUUUGAAGCUCAUCAUUGUGAGAGCAGCACGGGAGUGAGGAAUGGCUGCAGUACUGAACUCUUUAAGACAUGAAGACAUGACUUCACUGCAUAUAAAAUGAGUCCUGUAACAAAACUGGCCAGAAAAGAAAAUCUUUAAAUGACUUGGACACGUUUAUGAGUGGCAGAAACAGAAAUGGUGACUCAGCGGAGCAAUGCUACCUAAAUUUUUAGGACAAUCAUGCUGUUCUACUAAAGGACUGUGUGGGUGACAAAUACCAUUAGCACAGUCAGAUUCCAUGUGGCCAUACCUGCAUUCCUCUGAGAUAAAUUUCACGCAAGUAGUUUUGGAAACUAAGUGAUUUACUAAUACUAAUAUUGUAUUUUAUCUCACAAAUGAUGAGGUGCUAUACCAUUCAAGUAACAUCGUGUUGACUAAAGAAGACUGACAUUAACUACUUUCAGACUUGAAUGUUUUUGGAACAAUUCUAUGUAUAAGAAGGUUAUAAAAAGGUUUAAAGCUGUAUCAAGGAAUGGAAGACUUCUUAUGCAGGUGAGGAAGGAAUUGAAAGGAAUUGAAAAUAAAUGGAGCUAUGUCUACAAUAAAUGAAGAUAUAUGUCCAAAAAUAAAUGAAAAUACGUGACACCAAAUGGAAAAAUCAGACUAUCCAUAAUGUUAAAAGUAACGCCAAUGGAGCUCCCAUUGUGGCUCAGUGGGUUAAGAACCUGACAUAGUGUCUGAGAGGACGCAGGUUCCAUCCCUGUCCUCACUCAGUGGG